UGCAGCUUCUAUAGUUGUCUAGUUGACUAAUAGAUUUGGCUUUGGAAUGCCCUCCCUGAAGAGCUUCGCCAUGCUCCCUCCCUCAGUGUUUUUAAAAAACUACCAAACACAUUUUUUUAAAGAGGCUUUUUAAUGUUCCAUCUUUGGUUAUAUCUGGUAGAUUCUUUAGUUUUUAUAACUCUCAAUUUUCAGCUUUUAAAAUAACUUUUUAUUUGAAACUUCAUACUGAUUGUGGGUUUUAGCCUGACUUUUAACUUGUGUUUGCAGAUGACUGGAAAAUUACUGUGUUUGGUUUCUUGAAAUAGCAAGUUUCCUUCUGUUAACAAACAGCUCAGAUGCUAAAGUGAACAGUUACAUCUUUUGCUAUGGAAAUAUUUGCCUUCCUCCAGUGACAUUAGAGUGCGCAUCUCAGACCUACUGGGCGGGCUGGCUGAAGCUUCUAUUCUUGGAUCCUGUCCAAUAUAUGCCUUUGCUCCAAUUCCAGGGCUGGCUCUGAAAACACCACAUCCCACCAGCCAAUCAGAUUCUGCCAAGGAGUUAACAUGUAGUUUAAAACAGAAAGUUACAUAUACUUCGCUGCUGUGGGCAGCAAAUUUGUAAGAAAUGUUGAGAGGUGGGCACACAUUUUUGGGAUCCCACUCCGUUUUUUCUCCUAGCCAAAAUCUUUGGGUCACUUCAUACAUUCCAUAAUUUAAUACCUGUGUUUAAUUAUUAUGAUAAUAAUUAAUUAAAUCAUUUAUUUUUCUGUGUGAGCUGUUUGAGAACCUUUUUGCUGAAAAGCAGUAUAUAAAUAUUCUUCGUCAUCGUCAUCACAUCAUCUCCAAUUUGUUUGUUCCCACCAGAGUAUGAUCAGGUCUCUGAUUAUGGGGUUCCAUUUUUAGCCCUCUGGGCUAAUGGACAAAUCAGAUGGAAAUGGAAGAUACAAAAGGAGAGCCCCUGAGAGAGGGGUCAGGGUGGGCUACAAUACUUACAACUAUCACAUGAGCUCUUUGUUUCCUUCUUUACCUGGCCUCCACGGACCGAUAAAAGAUAAAAGGAGGCUUGGCAGGAUGCAGAUAUGAGAACAUGACAAAAUGAGGCACAAACAGGAACAAGGAAAAGGCCAAAUCCAAAUAAGUUAUCAUUUUAAGAUGGCCCUUCUUAUUGCGACUACCCAGCUGGAUUCUGGCAAUUUCAUCAUUGCAGGUUCCUAAGAACUAAUCAACAGAUACUGUGAUGCUAGAUGUCUUCAUGAUUUCAGACGGUUGCACUUACCUGAGUCCAGAACAUGUACUCAAGAUGACUGCUGACUCAGCAUAACCUUGCACAUGACCAUGGUAGUAGCAAUGGCCCUAAAUUAAAAACAUAAAAGAGUGUUACCAGAAAACUAUGCAGGGCAUUUUGCAAAAUGAAACAGAAGAGCAAAUUACACUGCCAUUCACCUUAAGGCUUUUACAGUAGAUAAGAAGACAGAAGAUGGAGAAAUAUCUAGAUUUAAGGGAGGAGACAUCCUGUGUUUGCUGAAGGGAAGAUGGAUGGUGCCAAGCUCCUCAAGUGAAGAACAGACUGUCAUGAAUCUGUGCUUGGAUGAACCCCUCAAAGCAAAGCAGAUAAUUCCAGGAAAGUAAACCAAUUUAGGUGGCAAUCUUCUUGACUUAAUUUAAUCAAUCUAAAUGAGAAAGGACACAGAUCAAACAACAUUAACACAUCACAGUUCAGGAUCUGCAGCAUGACUAGUUACCAUCCUUGAGGAUGAGAGGACAUCUCCCUCCAGCUGGAUUUACUUGAACCUGACUAAGAUGAAGCCAGCCCUGCUGGCAGGGAGCAACUGUCGUCUUAUCAGCUUACUCUCUAUCUGUGAAGCAAAAACCCUUGAUGUGCAUCAUUCACACUCAUUAGAGCUUGGCGAGACAAAGAAGAGAGAAAUUACUUGAAGAGUUUACUGAAAUUGCUGCCUGUUAAUGCCAUCAUAACCCAUUAAUGCUGUAGCAUCUUCUCCUAGGUCAUAUUGACCUUUAUAUUGGAAGUGGCUGUUCUUUAUUCAGUUGCUCACCACUCUAAUUAUCACAUAGAUUCUGAGGAAUAAACAGGUCUGUUAAAUGUACUGCUGUUUGCCAUCGCUGGCUCCUAAGAAUAUCUGUGAAUAUUCAGCGAUGGCAUUUCCCAGCCCUUGUUUCUCAUUACAAUAUAAAGAAUGAGGGAAGCAUGUUAUUGUGUUUCCCCUGCACCUGCAUGGAACAUCACCCAAGUCAUACAAUUACUGCUUAUUCUUUAAACACAUCAUAUUUCUUCCCCUUGUUUAAUUAUCUAAAGUGAUUCAAAAUGUGUUUGGAUGUUUUCCCACUCAAUGUCUCCACUUUAUAACAGCCUAUCUGUAACACACCAGCGCGUUUCCAUGGAGGAAAUAUAAUGUUGCAAUCAGGUUAAAACAAAAAACCAAAACAAACCUUGAGAGAUUGAAAUAUACAUGCUUAAAUAUGACCUCAGAGGGGAAGAGGAGCAAAAUAAAACCUUAAGAAAUAGGCAAGAAAAUGGUAAAGCCUUUUAUGCUUCAGUACAAUUAUACUGUAGCAACCACUUCCCAGCAUUAUCAAUGCCUUUCACAAUUAAAAAGGAAAUGUGAGUUCAUCAUGCACUGUGUUCUCAAAACUGAACUCUUGUAUUAAGGCCCUAGAGCCACUGGAAUCAUUGGAUGAUGGAGCAAUGACAGAUGUUUGGUGAAUGACACACAAAAUCAAGGCUGGUACUCUAUCUUAUCUAUGUACAAUGCUUUUACACAUGGAAACUCUCCAUGCCUCUCCAAACUAUGGGGAGAGUUUUCAUUACAAUAUCAAAUGUUCUUGGAAGAGUCUAUCAUUGCUUUGGAGACUGUACAGUUACAAAGCUUUAUGUGACAAACUGUGCUAGAUAUUUUAACCGGACAUGUUAAGUCACCACGUAUAAGUGGCACACUGCAUAGCUAACAUAAUGGCCGACAUGGCACGCAAUGUAACACUGGUGUUUCUGACCUGCUGGGGCUGCUGUGUAUGCAAAAGCCAGCCCUGGCAGUAUUGUGCAAGAGCACUGCAUUACUUCUAUUGGAAACUAUGGAAGUAGUGCUGUGAAAUGUGCACAUGCUAUUUUAGAUCGGUGCACAAAAGCGCUAUUGCACAACACUUGUGUUGAUUUUUGCAUCAGCUCUAGUGGGUCAGAAAUGCUGGUGUUGCAUAGCAUGUCAUGUCAGCUAAUGGCUCUUUAAGAACAUGUGUAAUGUGUACAUCAGCUGUUAAUGAAGUGGCUUCAGGCCAAGAACAAAUAACUAUAUGAGAGGGAGAAGAAGAUUCUUAAUCACUGCUGCAUUUUUAGUAAGCUAGAAAAUUUCAAGGAUGCACGUUGCCAAGAUUCCUAAAUAUUUCUAGUAACUGAAAACAUUUUU